rnacentral:rRNA from 1 species
AUAGACCCGAAACCCGGUGAUCUAGCCAUGGGCAGGUUGAAGGUUGGGUAACACUAACUGGAGGACCGAACCGACUAAUGUUGAAAAAUUAGCGGAUGACUUGUGGCUGGGGGUGAAAGGCCAAUCAAACCGGGAGAUAGCUGGUUCUCCCCGAAAGCUAUUUAGGUAGCGCCUCGUGAAUUCAUCUCCGGGGGUAGAGCACUGUUUCGGCAAGGGGGUCAUCCCGACUUACCAACCCGAUGCAAACUGCGAAUACCGGAGAAUGUUAUCACGGGAGACACACGGCGGGUGCUAACGUCCGUCGUGAAGAGGGAAACAACCCAGACCGCCAGCUAAGGUCCCAAAGUCAUGGUUAAGUGGGAAACGAUGUGGGAAGGCCCAGACAGCCAGGAUGUUGGCUUAGAAGCAGCCAUCAUUUAAAGAAAGCGUAAUAGCUCACUGGUCGAGUCGGCCUGCGCGGAAGAUGUAACGGGGCUAAACCAUGCACCGAAGCUGCGGCAGCGACGCUUAUGCGUUGUUGGGUAGGGGAGCGUUCUGUAAGCCUGUGAAGGUGUGCUGUGAGGCAUGCUGGAGGUAUCAGAAGUGCGAAUGCUGACAUAAGUAACGAUAAAGCGGGUGAAAAGCCCGCUCGCCGGAAGACCAAGGGUUCCUGUCCAACGUUAAUCGGGGCAGGGUGAGUCGACCCCUAAGGCGAGGCCGAAAGGCGUAGUCGAUGGGAAACAGGUUAAUAUUCCUGUACUUGGUGUUACUGCGAAGGGGGGACGGAGAAGGCUAUGUUGGCCGGGCGACGGUUGUCCCGGUUUAAGCGUGUAGGCUGGUUUUCCAGGCAAAUCCGGAAAAUCAAGGCUGAGGCGUGAUGACGAGGCACUACGGUGCUGAAGCAACAAAUGCCCUGCUUCCAGGAAAAGCCUCUAAGCAUCAGGUAACAUCAAAUCGUACCCCAAACCGACACAGGUGGUCAGGUAGAGAAUACCAAGGCGCUUGAGAGAACUCGGGUGAAGGAACUAGGCAAAAUGGUGCCGUAACUUCGGGAGAAGGCACGCUGAUAUGUAGGUGAAGUCCCUCGCGGAUGGAGCUGAAAUCAGUCGAAGAUACCAGCUGGCUGCAACUGUUUAUUAAAAACACAGCACUGUGCAAACACGAAAGUGGACGUAUACGGUGUGACGCCUGCCCGGUGCCGGAAGGUUAAUUGAUGGGGUCAGCGCAAGCGAAGCUCUUGAUCGAAGCCCCGGUAAACGGCGGCCGUAACUAUAACGGUCCUAAGGUAGCGAAAUUCCUUGUCGGGUAAGUUCCGACCUGCACGAAUGGCGUAAUGAUGGCCAGGCUGUCUCCACCCGAGACUCAGUGAAAUUGAACUCGCUGUGAAGAUGCAGUGUACCCGCGGCAAGACGGAAAGACCCCGUGAACCUUUACUAUAGCUUGACACUGAACAUUGAGCCUUGAUGUGUAGGAUAGGUGGGAGGCUUAGAAGUGUGGACGCCAGUCUGCAUGGAGCCGACCUUGAAAUACCACCCUUUAAUGUUUGAUGUUCUAACGUUGACCCGUAAUCCGGGUUGCGGACAGUGUCUGGUGGGUAGUUUGACUGGGGCGGUCUCCUCCUAAAGAGUAACGGAGGAGCACGAAGGUUGGCUAAUCCUGGUCGGACAUCAGGAGGUUAGUGCAAUGGCAUAAGCCAGCUUGACUGCGAGCGUGACGGCGCGAGCAGGUGCGAAAGCAGGUCAUAGUGAUCCGGUGGUUCUGAAUGGAAGGGCCAUCGCUCAACGGAUAAAAGGUACUCCGGGGAUAACAGGCUGAUACCGCCCAAGAGUUCAUAUCGACGGCGGUGUUUGGCACCUCGAUGUCGGCUCAUCACAUCCUGGGGCUGAAGUAGGUCCCAAGGGUAUGGCUGUUCGCCAUUUAAAGUGGUACGCGAGCUGGGUUUAGAACGUCGUGAGACAGUUCGGUCCCUAUCUGCCGUGGGCGCUGGAGAACUGAGGGGGGCUGCUCCUAGUACGAGAGGACCGGAGUGGACGCAUCACUGGUGUUCGGGUUGUCAUGCCAAUGGCACUGCCCGGUAGCUAAAUGCGGAAGAGAUAAGUGCUGAAAGCAUCUAAGCACGAAACUUGCC